rnacentral:tRNA from 1 species
GGCAUGGCUUAGUGGUCUGAGUGUUGGACUAUGACUCUGGAGACCAGGGUCUGAUUCCCUGCUUGGCCA